CCAACCAACCAGCACACAGCCUGCUGAAGGAUUCUGUAUGGAAGGAAAAUACCACUCAGACAUAGAAAGCGGCACUUGUGUGGAGGAGAAAUGGCUGGCUAACUUAACAAGCCAGGUGGCAGGCAGUGGGGAUGGAGUAACAAGCCUUUCUCCCUUCAGUCAGCUGGGCUUUCUCUCUGGGUCUGUUGGUAUGCACAGGUACUGGCAAAGGUGUGGAGUGGACUUCCUGCAUCUCCCAACUAGCUCUGUACAUGCUGGAUUCCUAAAUGAUGAAAACACACCUGCUUGGGACAGGAAGCAAGUUUUUGCAAAUUGAGAUUUAUCAUGCCAAGUUUUGUUUUGUGCACGGGCUCUAUCGAAGCAAAGCUCGUAAUCAUGAUUGUAUAGCAAUCCAUCCUUCGUGAAACUAACUGGAAGUGAAGAAUGACCUGACAAUUUGAUUUAAGCAGAAACAUGAGUUUGCAGCCCAGCCCUGAGAAUGAGAUGUUCCUCUCUCCCUCCAGACCUGUCUGCUGCAUCUCUCUGGAAGCAGCGUGGUAAUCUUCCUAGGGUAAAAUGAACCUUCUCGGACCCUACGUCAGCUUUGUGGCCCUGUGAUAAGAACAAGAAGAAACAGUAAAGGAAACGCACCGUUUCGGCUGAAUCAGAUUUCAGAUCAGGAGACUCAAGGUCAUAAAAAGAAGGACGCUGCAAGAAGGGCGGAAGGGGAUCUCUCCCACCCCUGAACUUCGCUACACCUACUUCUAUGGUGAUUUCUAAUUCAGUAUGAGCUUAGGUGGGAGACCUAUCUUUGAGGUUUCAUGUGUUGGAUUGGCUAUGACCUUAACCUAAUAUUUCUACAGGAGGAUAGGAGCAAAUAUGCUCUGGUAUAUAUAUAUAAUAUAUGAUAUGUUAUAUCAUAUAUAAUAUACACUAUGUAUAAUAACUUCUAUGUGAUAAGCACUAUUUUAAUAUUUUGUCUCGGUUGACUCAAUCCUUAAAACAGCGUUGCACAGUAGGUGCAUUUUCACUUCCUACUUACAAAAGAGAAGCAGUUUAGUCAACUGCUUGCAGCUUACCAGGGGUAAGAGUUGGGGACGAGUUCUCAAAUUCCGAAGCCUGACUUCGGAGCUGAAGCGACUCCUAGGAACCAUUUUGACUCUGGGGAAGUUGAUUAACCUUUAUGUCCAAUUCCUUUGUUUUUAAAGGGCCAUAACAGCACUUCCUGCCUCCCUAGCUCUGAGAAGUGCUCAGAGAUUAAUGGCAGUGCGUGUCCAUUCCAGCCUUGUGGGUCUCCCCCUGAAUGCAGCAAGCUUCCUUUGAAGUCGAUAAAAGGCUGAUGUGUGUGUGUGUGUGAAGGGAAGCAGAGUUCUUGGCCAGGGAGGAGAUGUGUAGAUACUGAGGAAACAGGUAUAAAUCACUUUUAUUUUCUUGGAAAAUGAUCUAUAUAAGCAUCAAGUAGUACCAACUGUUUGGAAUUUUGUAUUUGAAGAUACAUUCUCCCAAAUGUGAAUUUCUCCUUUGGAAGUCACGAGCUGUGUAACGUUCCCCCAGCGGGAACUUUUAUAUUCCUAGUGCUUGCCCCCCAGGUAACCCAAAAGGUCUCUGUGUAAAACCAGGCCUUAGCCAUCUUUGUUUCAAUGGGUUCAUUUUCUCUCCAUUUCCACGUACUAUUUUACUUGUCCUUGGUCCUUAGUAUACAGUAGGUGCUCAAUAAAACUUGACUCAGAAAGUGGAAGCUGAGAAAUUAGAUUUUGUUUAAGUAUUUAUUGAUUGCUUACAUUCUUAAUGAGGAAGGCUACCUGGAAAAGUUAAAAGUUUUUUGAGGGGUUGGGCAAGGGAUUCCACAAGAACAUUUUAAAAACACAAAAGAGAGGAUGGAAGGAAUCAAGGCUGAAGGCUAGGGGCUAGGAAGCGUCUAUUAACUGGGAAAUGGUAAAAGCCUAAAGAUUGUCUUUCAGAGGCAUGGUUGCCAUAUUUCUUCACAAGUUAAGUUAGACAAAAUUUUACUAGAGUGUAGGGGGAGGUGGAGAGAAGAAGAGGUAGGUAGUCCUCUUUUGGGAUGGGUAACAUGUCAGAUUUUCUAACUGUAACACAGAGUAGCAAGGAUGUGUUCGCCACGUACAGAGGUCAAGGAGCACUCUGGAGCACUAUCUAUGGUUGGGCUCGUAGACAUGGUCUGUAUCACAGGAAAUUGUCCCUGCUAACGCUGCUUCCAAGGGGUGCACACCAGGCCUGUUUUUCUGGUGUUAAACCACCCAGUGUGUCAAGCAAUCCAGACAUGAGCAGGGUUGGGCUGACUUUCUGACUGCUGUUGUUUUUAAUUUACUUUAAUAUUCCUGGGGCAGAGGAGUACAAGAAUCUCUGUAGAAGGCAGUGCUAUGCCCAACUCCCAUGGACCCAAACUUAACACUCAAGAAUAUUUUAUUGCUGGAAUUCAUCAUUUCUGGAAUGAAUUAAUUUGGUCCUUCCGUUUCCUUGUUUUUUUUCUCAGGAGGACAAAAUGAACAGAGUGAUCUCAAGUUGGAAUGACCAUGGAGACGAGCGAUUUCAAUUUCGUUCUCUAACCAGUCAAUUAGUGAAUCACUUAUCUCAUACCUGUUCUACUAAAGUCAUCAGACCACAAUUAAAUGCAGACUUUAAAGAAUAAUGUAAGAGUCACUAUGCCUAAGGAAUAUAGGCAGGGUUACUAUCAGAAAUAUUAAUCAAUAAUAUAAUUUAUUGUUUUUAAAAAAUAAAGAAAAAAGUGAGUCUUAUGAGGCAGAAAAUCACUUGACAAAAAUUAACGUUCAAUCUUAACUCAAAUCUCUGAUUAUAUCAGGUGUAUCACGAAUAUUUUAUAGUUAGGUGUGAGUGUCAUGUUCAUCAAAGUGUGAGAUUAAAAAUUGAAUGCAGUCAGUGUCCUCAUGGGUAUUUUCUUUUUCUGAAACCUGAAAAAAUUGAAGCAAAAAUAGUGUGACUCAAAACGAAGGUAAAAGGUCACAAGAAUGAUGCUGUGUGAGACACAAACACACACCCUGAAGACCCACUAACUGGGGCAAAAAAAAUAUUGAUCAUAAAACCUAGAGGUAAACUAGCGGACUAGAAUGGAAAUCUGCAAGUAGUCAUCAAAAUUUAGAAUGUCAUGGAGCCAAAGUAGAAGGAUGGUUUGCUGAAACCCAGGGAGAAGCGUGAGACCCUUGGUUCUCAUCUCAUAGCAGAUACAGGAUUCUGUGAGAGAGCAGAAGCAGGGAGUGCCAGAAGAAAACACAUAUUCACAAUCACGUCCAUCAGGUCUGUGUGAUGGAGAUAGGAUGCAUUCAGACUGCUAGAAGCAGGGACCGAUGCCCCCAGCAUCCUCCUCUGUUCUGUGUCCUCUCUUCCUGCUGCAUGUCAAUACCAAUCUCUCCUAUGGACCCGUUUUUUCUUGAGCUGGAGCCUUAGGGUCAGCAGCUCUCUGGUGCCCUUUGCCUUCGGUCUCUGUCAGAGAAGCACUGAGCAUCAAGCACUCAUUCAUCUCUAGACAGAAAGGGUGCAGGCAGCUGACUAACUUGACUAACAUGCUGGGUCACAUGCUACCCUGCACGGGUAGGCCCCAGGCAUGAUGCAGAUUGCAUUCUAUGCCUGGUCUUUUACCUACACUAAGCACAAGUGUCUGUUACAACCCGGCCAUGGCUUCCUGCAUUACGAGGAGCACUUGCCAGAGAUGUGCACUGUUCUAUGCCGACAAAGAUUAGAUUCCAUGGCUUUGAGCCUCUGCCCUAAGUUUAAUUUAACUUUUAGAAAGCUCCUCCCUUGCAAAUAACAAGAAACUGGGCCACACUAGAACCUAAAUAAAGUCUAUGCUAUUUUUAAAUGUCCUUAGAGACUUUGGGGUACAGGGGAACUUUUAUCUUCUCACUCAAAUGGAUACUCCUCUACCUCAGCCUCAAAACAUUGUCAACUGACUGACAAUGAACACUCUGAGGCCCUUUUAUUUUAUCUAAAGUAACAUUUAUAUAACAUAUUGGAAACCACAAAGGCAAAGAAUAUGUUCAUUUUAAAAUUUCGUCUCCCAGAUGCCUAUUAUAAUCUUGAACUUAAUGAACACUGGUCACUCACUACUGCCUGGGUGUGAUUACUCUCUAUUUCCCAAGAACAAUACGUAACCAAGUCUUUCAGCAGAUGCACUCCCUCAGUGACAAAAUGUGCAAGUUGCAGGUUUGAGCAAGACCUGCUUCUAGCUGCAGAGAGGAGAGAGGCCCACAGCCUUCUUACUUUGGGGUCUUAACAAAUCUGAAAGUCAACGAGUCCCAAGUGAAGCUACAGAUCCAGUCUUGAAAUGAAUGCUUGCUGCAGAGAGAGGGGACCUAAGUGAAGCCGGUGCAAGAGACAGAGAGGAAAGGAACACCCGUGUGCUUGCUCCUCUGUCCUGUAGGGAUCCUGAUGGCCAACGAGGACCUUUGGUGCUUUCUCCUACAGUUAUGGUUGGUUAAACAAAUAAAAUCUAAGUGUGGGAGCAUUUUAAAGCUGUCUUAAUAGCAACAAAGUGACCUUCCAACUCAGAUGACAGUCAGGUGUAAAGACUAAGUUAAGGCUAGUAGUCAGGGAUUCUGGGAAGUCUGAAAGCCUCUUGAGGGAAAGGUAUUUCUUAUGCUUCAUCUACACAUUUAUGUAUGUUCUAAAAGUACUUGCAAAGGGAUGAAUUCUAUCUAGUUAUGGAAGUAGCAAGUUCUCUCUCUCUCUCUCUCUCUCUCUCUCUCUCUCUCUGUGUGUGUGUGUGUGUGUGUGUGUGUGUGUGCAUGAAAGGAUAUUCAAGAUGGAGGAACUCUGCAUUUAUGGCAUGGUGAAAAAUCUGAAGAGUCUGUCAACUUUGGUUAAGCCCGUGCCUGGCUGAAGCCCUCAAACCAGCUUUGCGUGAACCACUGCAGCAAGGCGGGUUUUGGGCCUCUCCCUCUGACUUUGAAGACUGGGACUGCUCCAGGCCAGAGAUGUCAGUGUAUAUAGUUAACUGUUAUGGAUCUUACAAUAAAAAU